rnacentral:rRNA from 1 species
AAAGGAAUUGACGGGGACCCGCACAAGUAGCGGAGCAGGUGGUUUAAUUCGAAGCAACGCGAAGAACCUUACCUAAGCUUGACAUCCCAAUGACAUCUCCUUAAUCGGAGAGUUCCCUUCGGGGACAGUGGUGACAGGUGGUGCAUGGUUGUCGUCAGCUCGUGUCGUGAGAUGUUGGGUUAAGUCCCGCAACGAGCGCAACCCUUGUCUUUAGUUGCCA